rnacentral:rRNA from 1 species
AACGAACGCUGGCGGCAUGCCUAACACAUGCAAGUCGAACGAGACCUUCGGGUCUAGUGGCGCACGGGUGCGUAACGCGUGGGAAUCUGCCCUUGGGUUCGGAAUAACAGUUAGAAAUGACUGCUAAUACCGGAUGAUGUCUUCGGACCAAAGAUUUAUCGCCCAGGGAUGAGCCCGCGUAGGAUUAGGUAGUUGGUGAGGUAAAGGCUCACCAAGCCGACGAUCCUUAGCUGGUCUGAGAGGAUGAUCAGCCACACUGGGACUGAGACACGGCCCAGACUCCUACGGGAGGCAGCAGUGGGGAAUAUUGGACAAUGGGCGAAAGCCUGAUCCAGCAAUGCCGCGUGAGUGAUGAAGGCCUUAGGGUUGUAAAGCUCUUUUGCCCGGGAUGAUAAUGACAGUACCGGGAGAAUAAGCCCCGGCUAACUCCGUGCCAGCCGCCGCAGUAA